AUUGAACGCUGGCGGCAGGCUUAACACAUGCAAGUCGAACGAUGAAACCUAGCUUGCUAGGUGGAUUAGUGGCGGACGGGUGAGUACAACUUAGGAAUCUACCUAUUAGCGGGGGAUAGCUCGGGGAAACUCGAAUUAAUACCGCAUACACCUUACGAGGGAAAGGGGCCUAGCUUUCGGGCAAGGUCUCGCUAAUAGAUGAGCCUAAGCAAGAUUAGCUAGUUGGUGGGGUAAAAGCCUACCAAGGCGACGAUCUUUAGCUGGUCUGAGAGGAUGAUCAGCCACACUGGGACUGAGACACGGCCCAGACUCCUACGGGAGGCAGCAGUGGGGAAUAUUGGACAAUGGGAGCAACCCUGAUCCAGCCAUGCCGCGUGUGUGAAGAAGGCCUUUUGGUUGUAAAGCACUUUAAGCAGUGAGGAAAAGCUAUAUGCUAACACCAUAUAGCCCUGACGUUAACUGCAGAAUAAGCACCGGCUAACUCUGUGCCAGCAGCCGCGGUAAUACAGAGGGUGCAAGCGUUAAUCGGAAUUACUGGGCGUAAAGCGAACGUAGGUGGUCAAUUAAGUCAGAUGUGAAAUCCCUGAGCUCAACUUAGGAACUGCAUCUGAUACUGAUAGACUAGAGUAGGUGAGAGGAGAGUAGAAUUCCAGGUGUAGCGGUGAAAUGCGUAGAUAUCUGGAGGAAUACCGAUGGCGAAGGCAGCUCUCUGGCAUCAUACUGACACUGAGGUUCGAAUGCGUGGGUAGCAAACGGG
rnacentral:rRNA from 1 species